rnacentral:rRNA from 1 species
GACAGAGGGUGCAAACGUUGUUCGGAAUUACUGGGCGUAAAGCGAGUGUAGGCGGUUCGGUAAGUCGGAUGUGAAAGCCCCGGGCUCAACCCGGGAAGUGCACUCGAUACUGCCGGGCUAGAGUCCGGAAGAGGCGAGUGGAAUUCCUGGUGUAGCGGUGAAAUGCGCAGAUAUCAGGAGGAACACCGAUGGCGAAGGCAGCUCGCUGGGACGGUACUGACGCUGAGGCGCGAAAGCGUGGGGAGCAAACAGG